CAUCAGAGACAUUUCAAAGCGGAAACCAGACAGUUCCUUAAAGCAGGAGUAGGCAAGCUUUAGCCCCCAAGAUAUUGUUAAACUGGCAGCAGUCCAGCAGCAUAGCCAGCCAAUGGUGAAGAAUAAUGGGAGUUGCAGCCCAAUAAUCUCUACAAAGCCACACAUUCCACAUCCCUGCCUUAAAACUGUGCUUCAUAUUCUACAGAAGCCUCAGAAUUGUGAAUGAAUGUAGCAGUGUGAGAAUAGUUUUCAACUGUCACAUUAUAAACUUCCUGGGUCUACCAACAAUGAAGCAUAAUCUCAUGGGAAUAUGGGGGGUCCUGAGACUUUACUAAUGUAUGCUACAGGUGGCUUGUGUCAAUGAAUUUGCUCUGAUUUUUGUUUUUUGGAUAGAUCUUUUACAUUUCAGACUAAAAUCCAGAGUGGAUUGACAUCAACAAUACAAAAUCAUCAUCAUCAUCAUUAUCAUCAUUAUCAUCAUCAUCAUCAUCAUCUUUAUUUAUAUACCGCUCCAUCUCCUUGAGAGGACUCAGGGGAGUUUCCAACAUAAACAUAAAAGACACGAUACAACAAAGUUAAACAUAAUACCAUAAUAAACUACAUCAGAAGCCACCAACCUCCUUUACUACACAAGUGGAUCAGGACUGGCAACUGAGUUCUUGCACUAACUUAAUAUGGAUUGUGCCAUCACCAUCCCAGGUCGGCUUAUACUCGAGUGUAUACGGUAAUUCAGACAAGGAGGGAGAAAGAGCGGGAGAGACAGACAAUACAGUACUUCAACACACAUGAAAGAAAGUCCAGGCCUGAGCUGUGCUAUCAGAGUGAAGUUCCUAUUGUUGUUGAAACCCAGGACCUCAAAAUCUGCAACCAGGGGAAGUCCGAUCAGAUGGCCACAAAGAGUCCUGCUGACCGAUUACUUUUCCUCCAUAUACACAGUUACACAAGCACUCAGAGGGGAGAGGCAGGGAUAAUCUCAUUAUUCCUCCGGGUGACUGACACAAUCACCGGGUGACCAUCCUUCCUAGCCAACAAUGAACAUUAUGAAAUCCUAGGUGACAGAAUUAAUGCCAUUAAAACCCAUCAGCCCUGGACCUUGCCCACUUUUCUUUCCUUAAGCACCCAAAGGAGGAAGAUACAGAAUACAGUCACAAGCUUCAAACUGAGCAAUGAUAGUUUAUUCAAAUUCCUGCCAGAUCAGGGCACCAACCAGCUGCAGCAUCAGAUGGCGCAUCUCCCAUUAGAACUUGCAGUGGCCGGAGCAGUAAAUGUCCAUUCUUUGAAUUGCUUUCAGGUCUCUAUAAAUGGCUCUGUAUUCUUCCAUUGCUUUGUAUCUGAUCUGAGAGUGCUUUCUCUCCAACAUUCACUUUUGGCAGAAGUGAAUAAACUUCUGUUCCUUGCCUUUA